AGCAGCCGCGGUAAUUCCAGCUCCAAUAGCGUAUAUUAAAGUUGUUGCAGUUAAAAGCUCGUAGUUGAAUUUUAGGCCUGGCCAGGCGGUCCGUCUUUGGCGAGUACUGUCUUGUUGUCGGGUCUUCCUUCUGGUGGACCAGUAUGCCCCUUUAUUGGGUGUGUUGGGGAGCCAGGACCAUUACCUUGAAAAAAUUUAGAGUGUUUAAAGCGGGCUAUUGCUUGAAUAGAUUAGCAUGGAAUAAUAGAAUAGGACGUUGUGGUUCUAUUUUGUUGGUUUCUAGGACCACCGUAAUGAUUAAUAGGGAUAGUUGGGGGCAUUAGUAUUCAAUUGUCAGAGGUGAAAUUCUUGGAUUUAUUGAAGACUAACUAUUGCGAAAGCAUUUGCCAAGGAUGUUUUCAUUAAUCAAGAACGAAAGUUAGGGGAUCGAAGACGAUCAGAUACCGUCGUAGUCUUAACCAUAAACUAUGCCGACUAGGAAUCGGGCGACGUUAUUUUCCAUGACUCGCUCGGCGCCUUA
rnacentral:rRNA from 1 species